AUGAACUGAUUUGCCAGCACCAUAGCAGAAACUCUGUAAGGAAAAGAAAUACAUUUUCCUGAGGACUUAAUGGCUAACCUACAAAAAAGUUAUGAGGCAUUUUAUUCAGAGUGCUAACAAAAUUAUGUAAUUUAACUUACUUGUGGCAUUUAUAGACAUAAACAUGUUAAUUUGACUUUUUUUCAUUAGAGACCUCUUCUUUAGAUUAAUACAAGGCCAAAGUGGCCAAUAAAGCUUAAUAAAUCACUGAAUAUUCAGUAGGUAUUUUAAUCAGCUAGACACAUUUUGAUUGAACUAGAACAAUGGCAGGCUGAAGCCUAGGUAUUUAAAUUAGCAAGUUCUAGUCUGAUAAUUAUUCAUGUUUCUAGAUUCAUGCCCAUCAUACAAGGUAAAUGCUGAAAAUAUUUAAAGUUGUAUAUCAUUAUGUAAACAAUCUCCUGUACCUUUACUUUUUACAAAUACAAACUAGCUUAAGUUAUAGCUAAAAUUCAACAGGUUUUGAUUCACAUUCCAUGGGAAAAAGUAGGCAGCAGUUCCUGACACUGUGGCUCAGGGACCCCUGCGGGGAAACCUGAGACUUUCAGGGGAUCUAUGAGAUCAAAACUUUUCAUAAUACAGACAUUAUUAUUUGUCUUUUUCACUGUCCCCUCCUGAGUGUGCAAUGGAACAUUCCAGAUGCUAGAGUGACAGCCUCACUCGGACUCAGGAGAUGCCUGCCUGCGUGUACAGUACUCGUAUGUUUUAAAUUUGUUUUAACUCCUAAUAUGUAAAUAUCAAUAAAUAUAAUCACCUUAAGUAAGAGCUGUUUGUGGGCUUCAAUUUUUAAGACUGCAAAGAGGUCCUGAGAACAGAAACUUUGAAAAUUUCUAUACUAGUUUUUCAAACACUACUAUUUGAAGACAGAAGCAGCCAAAGUCAAAGAGCAUAAUUUUCCUUAGGGAGCACAUGUAACAAAAACAGAUGGUGAAGACUCUGCUGAUAAUUUCAGUUUCAGAGACUACACUACGACUACAGAACUAAUGUUACCUAACAAAAAAAAAAACCCGCCAACCACAUAAUCCUGUAAUCACAAGCCAAAAAACAAAACCAAAAAAGAAACGAUUUCAAAGUGAAUAGAGAUAGUGAAUCUUGUAUCCUUAGGGCAGAGAAUUUCCCUUGGCACAUCUAAGUUUUUGGUUUUAUGCAACAACCGCUUUACUUGGGUAAUAGCUAAAAAAUCGAUUAAAAAAAAAAAAAACACUGAACAGACCAUGAAUGAAUGACGAGUAAUAUUUCUUCUUAAUGUCUGCUCCUGGAUCCCCAAACUCUUUCUCAGCAUACCCACGUUCUUCCACAUCCCUUUCUGGUUCUGUGUCAAACUCAAUGCUCUUCCCUUCUCACUGCUGCAAAAACUCAGACUACAAAUAAGAAGGCCCCCUUUCUCAAGGAGACAGUAAUCAACUUCCUAUUUCCUGUGUAUUAAUUCACCAAGGUUAAAGGACAAAUUUAAAAAGAGGGUAUUAUUCUGAAUCACUGCUACAUAUGCAAUCAAACUAGAGAACUACUUUCUUGAUUAGAAAAAUAUACAAGUGGACGCCCACUGCCAUGGCGACUCUGCUGCGCCCUGUCCUGCGCCGGCUCCGCGGGGUCCAUGGGCUUCCCGGCCUCCUGCGGCUUGCGGCAGAAAUGCCUCUCCGGGCCAGGAGCGACGGCGCCGGCGCCGGCCCGCUGUACUCGCACCACAUCCCCACCUCCCCGCUGCAGAAAGCGCUGCUGGCCGCCGGCUCCGCGGCAAUGGCGCUCUAUGACCCCUACCGCCACGACAUGGUCGCAGUUCUAGGGGAGACCACAGGACACCGCACCCUGAAGGUCCUCAGGGACCAGAUGAGGAGGGAUCCAGAGGGUGCCCAGAUCCUGCAGGAGCGUCCCCGCAUUUCGACGUCCACCCUCAGAGCCUGCCAGAAGGCUCCCUGGGUCGCGAGUAUCUCCGUUUCCUGGAUGUGAAUAGGGUCUCCCCAGACACCCGAGCACCCACCCGCUUCGUGGAUGAGGAGGAGCUAGCGUAUGUGAUUCAGCGAUACCGGGAGGUGCACGACAUGCUUCACACUCUGCUGGGGAUGCCCACCAACAUCCUGGGGGAGAUCGUGGUGAAAUGGUUUGAGGCUGUCCAGACUGGCCUGCCCAUGUGCAUCCUGGGUGCUCUCUUUGGACCGAUCCAACUCAGUGCUCAGAGCCUGCAAGUGCUGGUCUCGGAGUUGAUCCCAUGGGCCGUUCAGAACGGGCGCACAGCCCCAUGUGUCUUCAACCUGUACUAUGAGCGGCGCUGGGAGCAGUCCCUGAGGGCUCUACGGGAGGAGCUGGGCAUUACGGCACCACCCGUGCAUAUCCAGGGCUUGGCCUGAGUUUCUGAGCCAGCGGGGCCUGGCCUACUUCCCCCAUCUACUGCUUCCCUUGGGGGCAGAGGGCUCCCUUGACUACCUUUGUUCCUCUUCUUUGAACACUGACCCUUGGACAACAUUUAUCAUAAUUUGUUAUAGCCACUGCUGAGUGGCCUUGAGGACGAACCCCACAGGGAGCAAGCAGUACAGAGGCACUCCCAGGGGGACCAGCCGCUGUCCAAGGAGAACCAUGCGUGAACAGUAUCAGUCGUCUGGGCUCAUGCUGGGAUGUUGCAGCACUCCUGUUGCGACUCCUUCCAACCAGCCAGGUUUGCUGGGGGCCAGGCUGGGUGUCCUCACAGAAGUGAGUGCUAUACCCAAUUCCAAAAGCCCGAGAAGAGAGAAGCGGAGGGGGAGGCGAGUGUGUGAAUAAAGGCUCCCAUCAGGUCAAAAAAAAAAAAAAAAAAAAAAA